AUAAUAAUAAAUAAUAAUAACAGCAUGGCAGCCCACAGUAUCUUUCUUUCUGGCUUUACCAUGAUGGCAUGAUCUUCCCAAAACACUUGACAAAAAACUUAGAAGUCCUAACUCCAAAACCUAAAUCCCAAAACAACAAAAGCCCCCUUCCCUCCCAGAAGAUCCAAUCCUCACUCUUUUUCUAUUCAUAUUUGUUUCUAUAGCCACUACUGUCACUCUGUGUAACACUGAACAAAUAUAUCCAUACACUGCUCCUUUUUGCUUAAUUCAUGUUCUUAAUUAUCUCAAGAUUGCUUUUUUGAGUUUCAUCUUGUUGGUUUUUCUAUUUUCCACAUGGGUUUUGAAGAUUUCUUCAACUCGGUGCCUGGUAUCAUUGUUUUAGCAUAUGGGUAUGCUUCUGUUUGAUAAAAUUCCUCUGCGAGUUUUCCAUGUGUAAUGGGUUUCUUGACGUUAUUGCAUUGGAUCUUGAGGAUGGAACAUGGAUAUGUUUCAAUUUGAGGAAGAAACCAAGACAUGCUCUCUCUGCGAAACACUCGCAGAUUCUGCAACUUUUCUGCCUCCGUUGCAUUAAGUCGUAGUCCUGCAGCUGUAUCUAACCGCAUUCAGAAUCAAAACCAGAAACCUUUGGAGGAACCUGCACUUGUUAAGCUUAAAGCUGAGAGAGACCCUGAAAAGCUAUUUAAUCUUUUCAAGGCCAAUGCUGAGAAUAGGCUUGUUGUGGAGAAUCGGUUUGCAUUUGAAGAUACCGUUUCUCGCUUGGCUGGUGCUAACAGGUUUGAUUACAUUGAGCAUUUACUUGAGCACCAGAAGCCUCUUCCACAAGGUAGGCGCGAAGGGUUCAUGGUGAGGAUUAUAAUGUUGUAUGGAAAGGCUGGAAUGAUAAAGCAUGCUAUUGAUACUUUCUAUAAUAUGCAUUUGCACGGCUGUAAAAGGACUGUUAAAUCCGUCAAUGCUGCACUGAAGGUUUUGACUGGAACCCGUGAUUUAGCAGCAAUCGAGGCCUUUGUUAAUGAGGCGCCGAAGAAGUUUGAUAUUGAGCUAGACAUAUUUUCUGUUAACAUCAUUGUUAAGGCUUUAUGUGAAACGGGAAAUUUGGAUAAAGCAUAUUUACUCAUGGUAGAGAUGGAAAAGUCAGGGGUAAGGCCAGAUGUCAUCACAUACACCACACUUAUGUCAGCAUUUUAUAAGAACAACAGGUCAGAGAUUGGCAAUGGAUUGUGGAAUCUUAUGGUGCUUAAGGGAUGUUUACCCAAUCUCGCAACAUUUAAUGUUAGAAUUCAGUAUUUGGUCAACAUAAGACGGGCAUGGCAUGCAAAUGAUGUCAUGCGUUUGAUGCUAAAAAUUGGGAUUGUGCCUGAUGAGGUUACAUAUAAUUUGGUUAUAAAAGGCUUUUUCCAGACUGGUAAACUUGAGAUGGCCAAAAUGGUGUAUUUUUCUUUACGUGGCAAGGGGCAUAAAUUUAAUGUUAAAGUUUACCAAACAAUGGUUCAUUAUUUAUGCAAGGGUGGGGAGUUUGAUUUGGCUUAUACAAUGUGUAGAGAUUGCAUGAGAAAUAACUGGUUUUUGAAUGUGGAUACCAUUCAUACGCUGCUUGAAGGGCUGAAGAAGAAUGGGCAGCUUAACAAGGCUAAGGUGAUCGUGACUUUAGCUCAGAAGAGAGUGCCUCCUUUUCCUUCUAGUCAUUUGCGCUCCUUGCAAGCUGUAUUGUCUAGAAGUUGAAUUGAGGUUAUGGAAAUGCUCAGAUAAGCUUGGUUUUGUAACACCACAGCCACACAGCAGGGGAUAUUCAUUUCAUUUUGUCCUCUGAUACAUCCACAGAACCAUAUGGAUAUCCUUGUCCUUAAACAUCAAACAAAGGGAACGUUCCCUUUAUUCAAUUAAUUUGUUGUAGCUUUUAAUAAGUUCCUGAUGAAAUGAAAUUUCUAAACUUCUAACUGGAUGGUGCCAUGAUUCUUUUUCAAUUGACAAAGAGCUGGUUAGCCAGCCAAAAGAGUGUGUUAUCUCUUUGUUAUCUAUUGCUUAGAUGCCAACAUUGGACAAAAGUUGCAAAUCAAAAUUGGCACAGCCUGAAAGGGAAGAGAGAAGUGCUGGAGAAAGGAUACUGUUGUGAAGUAAUGGGGUGACGGUUGCAAGGUGGAAUGUUUAAUGGUGCUCUUUGGCAGCAGAAAUUGAUUCUGAAGUGUUUCUUAGUUUAUAGCUUUCUAGUAGAAAUUUGAUGUCUCAUUUGACUGAGGCAGUCAGUGUUCCACGGAUUAAUUUUUCAUGGCUAGAUUGUGGUUGCAGAUCUGGAUAAAGUGGGAUAACUAGCCAGUGUUGUCAAAGGCGAAAAUGCCCAAGGUGUUAGGUGAACGCCGGAAUGAACCAAGAUGAUAUGUUAUAACUUCAAAAAAUAUAUGUAUGAUAUUAUAUACAUAAUCAUUUAAAGUUACAUUUUUUUCA